GACGAACGCUGGCGGCGUGCCUAAUACAUGCAAGUCGAGCGGACAGAAGAGGAGCUUGCUCCUUGGAAGUCAGCGGCGGACGGGUGAGUAACACGUGGGCAACCUGCCUGUAAGACUGGGAUAACUCCGGGAAACCGGGGCUAAUACCGGAUAAUUUCUUUUUCCGCAUGGAGAAAGGAUAAAAGACGGUUAUGCUGUCACUUACAGAUGGGCCCGCGGCGCAUUAGCUAGUUGGUGGGGUAACGGCCUACCAAGGCAACGAUGCGUAGCCGACCUGAGAGGGUGAUCGGCCACACUGGGACUGAGACACGGCCCAGACUCCUACGGAGGCAG
rnacentral:rRNA from 1 species